rnacentral:rRNA from 1 species
CUACGGGUGGCACCAGUGGGGAAUCUUCCGCAAUGGGCGCAAGCCUGACGGAGCAACGCCGCGUGAGUGAAGAAGGCCUUCGGGUCGUAAAGCUCUGUCUUUAGGGAAGAAAAACUAUGGUGAAAAUAUUGCCAUAGUCUGACGGUACCUGAGGAGGAAGCUCCGGCUAACUACGUGCCAGCAGCCGCGGUAAUACGUAGGGAGCGAGCGUUGUCCGGAAUUACUGGGCGUAAAGGGCGUGUAGGCGGGAAUUUAAGUAAGGUGUGAAAACUCCGGGCUCAACUUGGAGACUGCACUUUAAACUGGAUUUCUUGAGGGCAGGAGAGGAAAGUGGAAUUCCUAGUGUAGCGGUGAAAUGCGUAGAUAUUAGGAGGAACAUCAGUGGCGAAGGCGACUUUCUGGACUGCACCUGACGCUGAGGCGCGAAAGCAUGGGUAGCGAACAGGAUUAGAUACCCGCGUAGUC